AGUGAACGCUGGCGGUAGGCCUAACACAUGCAAGUCGAACGGCAGCACAGUAAGAGCUUGCUCUUACGGGUGGCGAGUGGCGGACGGGUGAGGAAUACAUCGGAAUCUACUUUUUCGUGGGGGAUAACGUAGGGAAACUUACGCUAAUACCGCAUACGACCUACGGGUGAAAGCAGGGGAUCUUCGGACCUUGCGCGAUUGAAUGAGCCGAUGUCGGAUUAGCUAGUUGGCGGGGAAAAGGCCCACCAAGGCGACGAUCCGUAGCUGGUCUGAGAGGAUGAUCAGCCACACUGGAACUGAGACACGGUCCAGACUCCUACGGGAGGCAGCAGUGGGGAAUAUUGGACAAUGGGCGCAAGCCUGAUCCAGCCAUACCGCGUGGGUGAAGAAGGCCUUCGGGUUGUAAGGCCCUUUUGUUGGGAAAGAAAAGCAGCAGGUUAAUACCCCGCUGUUCUGACGGUACCCAAAGAAUAAGCACCGGCUAACUUCGUG
rnacentral:rRNA from 1 species